AUUGAACGCUGGCGGCAUGCUUUACACAUGCCAGUCGAACGGCAGCGCGGGCUUCGGCCUGGCGGCGAGUGGCGAACGGGUGAGUAAUGCAUCGGAACGUGCCCAGUAGUGGGGGAUAGCCCGGCGAAAGCCGGAUUAAUACCGCAUACGACCUGAGGGUGAAAGCGGGGGACCGAAAGGCCUCGCGCUAUUGGAGCGGCCGAUGUCGGAUUAGCUAGUUGGUGGGGUAAAGGCUUACCAAGGCGACGAUCCGUAGCUGGUCUGAGAGGACGACCAGCCACACUGGGACUGAGACACGGCCCAGACUCCUACGGGAGGCAGCAGUGGGGAAUGUUGGACAAUGGGGGCAAACCUGAUCCAGCCAUGCCGCGUGCGGGAAGAAGGCCUUCGGGUUGUAAAGCGCUUUUGUUGGGGAAGAAAUCCUCUGGGCUAAUACCCCGGGGGGAUGACGGUACCGGAAGAAUAAGCACCGGCUAACUACGUG
rnacentral:rRNA from 1 species